rnacentral:tRNA from 1 species
UGGCCCAUAUGGGGAUCGAACCCAGGACCUCCGCGUUAUUAGCACGGCGCUCUAACCGACUGAGCUAAUGGGCC